GUCCUUUCACUUAACAUGUUCGUUGUCUUGUCAUGUUCUUCUGGGCUAUGGAUUUAUAAUGAUUUAAUGCUUACAGUUGGAAUUGAUUUGGUUUGCCCUAUCCUAGCAACCGUCCCUACUGGCAUCCAAUACUUUUUCCUUUUUUUACUUGAUUAUAUCUUGCUAAUUUUGCCUUUUUUACUUUAUUUGUUUGCAGCCAUCUAGGAAGAGGACGACAUCGACGAUUUGUUGUGUUCAGAGAUCUAGGACGACAUCGAUGAUUUGUUGUGUUCAGAGAUCUAGGACGACAUCCAUCGAGCCCGACCAUGACUGCCACCACCAUAACGCGCCCCACAAGCAUCUGUGCUUAUCAAAAUGAAGAAGCCAUCCGUCAUGCGAAGGCUGCUCUAGAGAUCAACCCAGACUCUGCAAAAGUCUACAAGACUCAUGGAAUGCCUAACGCUAUGCUUGGCAAGUGGGAGGAAGCUGCUUGCGAUCUACAUUCCGCGUCAAACAUCAACUAUGAUGAUGUGAUCAAUGCGUGCUUGAGAAGGAGUAAUUUUUUAAUUCAGGUCGGCAAAGCGGCCGGUAAAAGGUGGAAGAGCGAAUCGGAAAAAGGCGCCCUAUGCGCGACCUUCUCUUCAUCCAUCCAUCCAUCCGUCCUUCCUUCUUUCCCCUGGUUCGGGAGCAUUCUUGGACUGCAGAACAUCUGAUUCCUGCGUUCUUUUUGCUGGUUGCACCCAUCUGAUUCCUUCAUCUCUCUCUGUGUGUUGCGGACGGCAAGGGCCUAUAAUCUCCUCCAAUUUGAAGUGCUGGCUUGUGCAUUUCCUGUUAUUCUGAACGACGCCACAGAGAAAUGUGGUGAAUCAUCUCUGGCAUAUUAACCCAUGCCUCAGUCGUUGAGGAUUUGUUGAUGCUCAUUCUGAUCCAAGCUGUCUUCUGAGAAUUCUUGAUGUGUGUCACGACCUGAAGGUUUGUACAGACACAGUAACAUCGACAGUGGUCAAAGUUCACCAUCAACUUUUUUGCAACUCCAGUGCAUUUUAUAUCUGGAAGUUAGGUGCAGUAUUUUGCUCUUUACAACUACAACAAACAAUCAUAGAUAUGAUUUCUGCAUUGAAGGGCUUAGCAGACAUGAUUUCAGCGUGUCGUUGGCCUAUCUGGAGUCACCUUGCUGGGUUUGCUCGCCCCUUCCGUACAUCCAAGUGUUCAUUGCCGGAUUCCUGCAGUUCGAGGUCACCGUCACCGGAUCCAUGCAGAACGAGGUCGUCCUCACCAGAUCCGUGCAUAUCCAACUCUCCCCCUUGUAGAUACAAUGAUCCCAUCCCUGAGGCUCUCCCUUUCACACACAAGCUCGUCUAGAUCAUUGCUCCCCUGGCCUAGGGAAUUUUUUCUUCUUCAUCACUCCUUGUCUCCGGUGCCCUAUAUCGAGUUUUUGGAACCUCCCCCUCCCUCGGUGAAGAAAGCAAGGAAUUAAUAAAAAGAAGAAAUGAGAGGAAAGGAGGAAUUGGCUGGCAGUGCGGGCCCGCUUCCCUUCAUUCGUGAAUCAAAAUAUCUUUUCUCCUACAUACCUUUGGCGCUGUAUUGCUUUGAUGAUCGAAGACUCGGCCCCGUUGCUCCCGUUGUGGUGCGCACGCCCUGCCGUGCCAUGCCAUGGUGGUUUCAGCGAUGGCGUUGGUAUGUCCUUUACCUCCUCUCCUGGAGCUACGUGAUGUGGUAGCGCGCAUAAAGAAUAUUAGAACUUCAAUAUUUGUGAUUUAGAAUUAGCUCUCAUGUCAAUGCUUUAGGAUGGUCGUUAGUUGAACCCAUUUCUUUGCACGACCAGACAUUAUCACAGUACAACCCUAAACCAUGCUAGUUUAGGAGUUGCUUGAAGCCAUGUUGUGAUUUAGUAUGUGUAGGCAUCAUUUAAGUUAUUUGUAGUAUUUUUUGUUUCUCUUAUGCUGAUUGCUUGAUUUGGUUGUUAAAAUGAUAAUUAAUAUAGUUUCUGCUAUGUCUUAGUGCACACCCAACCCCUGUGGGAGGGGACGAGAUUAGUGUGCGGUGCGCUCGGUUGGAGUAGAAAUAUAUCGAUUAGAUUAAAAUGGUCUUUAGUGGUGUCCUUGUGUGUUAUUUGUGUGAACGACUCAACGACGAAUGCCCAUCUCUUUCUCUUUUGGAUGCCCUGACCAAUUUGCCAAAAAGUUUGGUAGUACUGAUAGAAUGCCCCACCUUAAGGUAACUCCAAUGCAGGGACACAUUUUGUGGGUCCGUUUGAGUUGACCUUACUGCCAACUGGUUAGAAUAGGUGCCCUACCAUUUUACAUCCCCCUUAGCCUAUGGUUUAAAUCGGAUGGAAUCAGUGCUAUCUUUGCAUCUAUUACUGGUCAUCCUUCUCUCCUAUCUUUCUUAAAAUCUUCACAUGAACAUCCUUCUCUCCUAUCUUUCUUAAAAUCUUCACAUGAACUUGUGUUGGCCUAUACAAGGAUGCAACCGUAUGUACAACGGCCAUGUUUGUGCCUAAGUGGCUUGUCGCGCUUGUUAGUGUGAAGUACUUUUCCCUCUUUCCUAUGCGCUUUAGGGUUUUUGACACGAUGGAUGAUUCUUGUCAUGCGAAAUUCUUGUCUUGAACCGUACAACAAGACAUUGCUCUCUUUCCUAUGUACAAGACAUUGCUCUCUUUUCUAUGUUUUUCUGAUUCUAAAAUUUCUCUCCUCUGCCUGAUGAGGAUCAUCCAGUAUGUUGCCGGUCUGUCUAGAACGCAUGUUAACGCUAGGUUAGCUUGUCAGGUGUGUGGUCUGUUUAGUUAGUUGGUUAUAGUUUAGCAUGUCAAACUUAUGAGUUUGUCCUUGUUUUAGUGGGCUUAAUCUAGAGGUCAUUUAGUUUAGUGUAAAUAAUAAUCAAAGACAAGUGUUAAAUUAAUAAAUCAACUACACCUAACAAUGUUAACGGGCUAACUGUAUUCUAAACCAUGAGUUAAAAUUGACACCUGCACAUUAAUGUGAACACCUGUCAGUGAGUUUUAUGAGUCACGUGGUUCACAAUAAUAUCAGAUGCAUCUCAUGGAUAAAUCUACAAUUCUAAUAGUUUAAUACAUGAUGUUAAGGAAAAUGCAUUGCAGCUCUUGGGUACCACACACCCAAAUAGCGUUAAAAAAUAUUUGGAAAUUUUAAAAAUAUCUGAAAAAACCCGAGUGCUUGUGUACAAUUUUGUGCGGAAUGGGUGUCUGUGGCAUCUUGGCGUAUGAAUGAUGGUCUGACAUAUGUUACAUUCAAUUUUUUUCUACACAUACAUUUUUUUGUCUUUUUAUUUGCAUUCCAGAGGCACCAUUCCCCCAUGAAACUGAACACGUGUGUACUAUGGGCACUCUAGUUUCAUAUCCCAAAAUUUUGGAAUUUUUUAAAAUUUUCUAAUAUGUUUUUAAUGCUAUAUUCAUAUAGGGGUGUAUGGCACCCGAGAGCCACAUAUCCUCCUCCAUGAAGUUAAUGAAAAUAACAAAAAUCAAGCAAAUCAGUUCCAUUAUUAAAAAAUCCAUUGAUAGGAUAAAGCCACUUUAACCUUUCCUUGAGCUGGUAUGUACUCGUGAUUGAAAAGAAAAGGAAAUACAAGUCCGUUCGGAACUCGGAAGUUUGUGGCUAUAGUGUUCUCUCCUUUUCACAAUCCAUUAGACAAGACGCUUUGUAGUGGGCUGGCCUGCCGUGGUGGGACUAUGUUUUCGUGAAUGGCUUAUGCUCGUUGAAUAAAACGGUGCAUCGUUCAUGAUGUACUACAGAAAACUUCAUGCUAGUACUAGGGCGUGAUGUCUUAGUUCGUGGUGGGACUAUGUUUUCGUGAAUGGCUUAUGCUUGCUGAAUAAAACGACGCAUCGUGCAUGAUGUACUACAGAAGACUUCAUGCUAGUAUUGUGGUGUGAUGUCUUAGUUAGUAUUGUGGCAUGACGUCUUCGUUAGUCCAACUUAUAUGAUAGAAUUAUACGGGGAAAUUACUGGUAUGAUUGGUUUGAUGCCAAAAAUUGGCAUGCCAAUAUUUGGCAAAUGCCAAAUGUUGGCUAGUGAUUGGUUGGCUACCAACUUUUCUUCUUAACCUCACAAAAAGUUGCCAACAUUUGGCAAAUUUUGAUUUUGCCAAAUGUUGGCUUGCCAAAUAUUGGCAGUGCCAAUUGUUGGCAUCAAACCAAUUAUGUUCUACUAUCUAAAAAGAUCAGCAAUACAAGGCCCAAGCUUUUGCAUAAAUAUGCUAGUCUUGCAUGGAAACCGCACAUUGAUGCUUUCGAAAUUUUUAGUUGGAGUUGAAGGUGAGAAUAAAAAUAAAAUAAAAUAAAUUCAAAAAGUGGUAAAGAGGGUUUAGCCAAAUUGCCAAAUUGAUGUUUGUAUAUCUUACUACAAUGACGAGUUUGUCAAGCAUGACACAUGCGUGCACCCAACAUGUGUGUCUUGAUGUUCGUAUAGCUUACUACAAUGACGGAGUUUGUCAAGCAUGACACAUGCGUGCACCCAACAUGUGUGUCUUGAUUUAGACAAGCAAUAGUAAACUAGAGAUAAUUGUAACAUGUGAGUAAAUCAACAUUGAAUAUGGAUUUGUAAAAUUUAUGAGUCUCAUACACUAAUUUAUAUUUGCAUCUCUUGUGGGGUAAAUACAACUAUAUUUGUAUAUCUAAAGUUGAAGAAAAUUAUUUUGUACCAGCUGCAUCCGCAUUUAUUUAAUCUGUAAUGGUGAACUCCUAAUGAACAUAAUAACUACAAUAAUAGAAUUGUUUUUUACUUGAUUCUAAAAUAUAUAUACCUUUCACAAUCAAAUUACAAUUGAACUAAAAAUUAAAUUGAAUGUAGUCGUCCAUUUGUCAACCCACGUGCUAUA